AUACUUACCUGGAUGGGGUCUAUGGGCAAUCAAGAAGGUCCAUGGCCUAGGUUGGUGACCUCCAUUGCACUUCGGAGGGGUGCCUGCCUAAGAUAUCUCCAAGUGGGAUAGUCUACAUCAUAAUUUGUUGCUUAGGGGGUACGCGUUCGCGCGGCCCCUGC
rnacentral:snRNA from 1 species